GACGAACGCUGGCGGCGUGCUUAACACAUGCAAGUCGAACGGAAAGGCACUGCUUUUGUGGGGUGCCCGAGUGGCGAACGGGUGAGUAACACGAGAGUAACCUGCCCUUGACUUUGGGAUAACUUCAGGAAACUGGGGCUAAUACCGGAUAGGAGCUCCUGCUGCAUGGUGGGGGUUGGAACUUCUCGGCGGUUGGGGAUGGACGCGCGGCUUAUCAGCUUGUUGGUGGGGUAGUGGCUUACCAAGGCUUUGACGGGUAGCCGGCCUGAGAGGGUGACCGGCCACAAGGGGACUGAGGUAGGGCCCAGACGCCUACGGGAGGCAGCAGUGGGGAGUAUUGCACAAUGGGCGGACGCCUGAUGCAGCAACGCCGCGUGCGGGAUGACGGCCUGCGGGUUGUGAACCGCUUUCGCCUGUUACGAAGCGUGAGUGACGGUAAUGGGUAAAGAAGCACCGGCUAACUACGUG
rnacentral:rRNA from 1 species